GAUCAUAUAUUAUCUAUUCCCGCUGAUAAAAAAAUAGAGCCUGCCGACAUCCGUCAGGCUCUACAGUACACACAAUGACGCUUCCUUUCGUUAUUUCCUGCAGUGUCCUCCGUGUGCGGUAAAUAUAGUUAUAGCGAUGCGCGUAAAUAUUUCCAGUAGGAAAUGGUGAUUGAUUUCA
rnacentral:misc_RNA from 1 species